AUUGAACGCUGGCGGCGUGCCUUACACAUGCAAGUCGAACGGUAACAGGUCUUCGGAUGCUGACGAGCGGCGAACGGGUGAGUAAUACAUCGGAACAUGCCUAGUAGUGGGGGAUAACUACUCGAAAGAGUGGCUAAUACCGCAUGAGAUCUACGGAUGAAAGCAGGGGAUCGCAAGACCUUGUGCUACUAGAGCGGCCGAUGGCAGAGUAGGUAGUUGGUGGGAUAAAAGCUUACCAAGCCGACGAUCUGUAGCUGGUCUGAGAGGACGAUCAGCCACACUGGGACUGAGACACAGCCCAGAAUCCUACGGGAGGCAGCAGUGGGGAAUUUUGGAUAAUGGGCGCAAGCCUGAUCCAGCAAUGCCGCGUGCAGGAUGAAGGCCUUCGGGUUGUAAACUGCUUUUGUACGGAACGAAAAGCCCUGGGUUAAUACCCUGGGGUCAUGACGGUACCGUAAGAAUAAGCACCGGCUAACUACGUGCCAGCAGCCGCGGUAACAC
rnacentral:rRNA from 1 species